rnacentral:rRNA from 1 species
UACGUAGGGUGCGAGCGUUAAUCGGAAUUACUGGGCGUAAAGCGUGCGCAGGCGGUGAUGUAAGACAGGUGUGAAAUCCCCGGGCUUAACCUGGGAACUGCAUUUGUGACUGCAUCGCUGGAGUGCGGCAGAGGGGGAUGGAGUUCCGCGUGUAGCAGUGAAAUGCGUAGAUAUGCGGAGGAACACCGAUGGCGAAGGCAAUCCCCUGGGCCUGCACUGACGCUCAUGCACGAAAGCGUGGGGAGCAAACAGG